UUCUUUGUUGUCGAAAUAUGCCUUCUUCUUGAUUUGAUUUUUCCCUUCUAUUUUGUCUUUCUUUUAUUCUUCAAUUUUUGCUACUAUUAAUUCUUGAAGCGUUAAUCCUUGUUUUGUGGGCUACGCACUAAAGGUGAAGUUCAAGAGACGUUUAAUCCACCGGCGAAUUAGGAUUUGGAGAAGUGUUGUUCGUCCAAGGGUAACUCUCAGACUUAAGCGGGUCGGUGCGACGGGAGCUCAGUUAUGUCUACAUUUCCGUAAACUCUAUUUACUUAAAUUUGAUUUAUUUAAAAAUCUGAUUUGAGAGUUUUGUAAAUUUCGGUAUCUCUAGACAUUUGAGAUUGUUUUUGUUUUGGAUUUUUGGCAUGACACUCGAUAGAACGACUUUAUGAAAACGAUUAUUUUUCUGCAAUUAACUAUUUUCAAGAAAAUAAACUCGACUUUCCAAAAUAUAAUGUUCUAAGAAUUUCCGCUACAAAAUAUUCGAUUUAUUUAGAAAAUGUAAACAAACAACGGUUUUAAUUAAAUAAGU